GGGCCGCUGACACCGGCACGGGUUGGUUCCCUGGUUCGGCUGCAGCGCCUGUCGCCGGGGUUGGUUGGGGUAGCUGCAGUGCUCGUCACGAGGGUUGGAAUAGCUGCGGUGCCUGUCGCUCUGUUUUCCCUCCCUUCCCCCUGAGGGUGCUGCAUCAUAUCGAGCAGUGGUUGGUAAAUACUGGCCAGGGCCCAGCACAGUGCGGUAAGUUGUGCCUCUUCGGAACAGGCACCGCAUUUUCCUUUCGAAUACUCUAUCACUUGAUCAGGGUCCCGUACUUGUUUCGGAGUGAAGUUCCAAGCCACUGGAGGUGAGAAGUUCUCUAGAUACCUGCCCAUAUUCUCUCCCACAUGCCAUGCCACCCAUGAACAUCCAGCCUUGGGGCAGAUCUCUGGGUGGUAUUCGUAAAAAAACUUUUUUUGUAGCCCUCAACAAGACCUGAAACAUAUUUGGGAGACACAGCGCUAACAGCAUGCUGGCUCGAACAUCCCAAGGAUAUUCAAAAUUCUCAAAAGCUGUUGUAAGUAGCGGGAAGGAGGAAGGGGAGGUGGCAGAGUGGGACAAAGUAUCCCCCCGUCUUCCCCAUGGAUUGGGUGUGAUUACUAAUAAAUUCCGAGAGAAGGCAUCUGAGGUACAGGCAUGACAACGCCGCUGCACACAAAUACCAGCUUAACCCCAUGACCAGUGAUGUAAUUAUAUCAUAAGUUGACAUUACCCAAUACAGCAAAAUGAUAAUCCUGAUCCCUCUCCCAGAGGUGAUAAACAUAAUCGCAGGGAAUACAUAGAGGGUAUAAGAAGUUACACAACGCCACCAUGUGAACAAAUGAACCAACACUGUGACCAGUGACUAUUUAACAUAAGGAAUGUGUAUAACGAAUUUGUUUUAACACGCUCUGGCCAGAUCUGUCGUUGUCUCAACCCUUCGUGCCCCACUUUGGGCACCAAAAAGGAUUGUCAUGGUUUCAGCCCAGCCGGCAGCAAAGCACCACGAGGCCGCUCGCUCACUACUCCCGCCCCUGGUGGGAUGGGGAGGAGAAUCCGAAGAAAAAGGUUUUACGGCAGGAGCAGUUUAUUGGUUUACUCUCAGGCAAGAAGGCUGUAUGAAAUACAGAUUUUCAUCCGCCGUUGCGAACGAUAAACCUCGCCUAACUACAUACUGUGCCUCAAGGCGUGUGAUGCUCCGGUCAGGACUCGACAAAAUUUCUCUAAGCUCAACAAGAAACGUUUCGCAGCCUCUUUUGAGGUUCCUCGCUUAAUACGAAUGACAAGAAGCCGUACGCAGGUGGGGAAACCCUUGUUCUGUCCCGCUGCAGUGAGAAUCGGCAUGGAAAAGGAGUCGGCGAGCGUGGCCGGCGAGGCUUUGCAUCCCCGUAGCCGCGUGAGCCGUUAAACCCGGUAUCAGGGGAAACUCAGCUUAAACCCGGUAUCGGGGGAAACUGCUCCUAAAACCAGACCUUUGAAUUGCUGCACCGCACACUGUUACGCCGAGAUUAUUUUUUUAAAAAAGAAAAAGCAGCGUGCAUGACCCCGUCGCUCUAAAACGUGUUUAUCUAAAAAAAAUAAACCGAAGGAUUAUUCCUUUUUUUUUCUUUUUUUUUUGGGGGAGGAAAAAGAUUUUUUGGACCGUUAAUAAAUGAUUUGAAUUUUUUGGUUUUGAGACAUUAUUGCAUCUUUGUCUCAGCGUUUUUUAAAAUGCCUAUUUGUACCGUACC
ensembl:lncRNA